rnacentral:rRNA from 1 species
UACGUAGGGUGCGAGCGUUAAUCGGAAUUACUGGGCGUAAAGUGUGCGCAGGCGGCCGCGCAAGUCGUGUGUGAAAUCCCCGAGCUUAACUUGGGAAUUGCGCUCGAAACUACGUGGCUGGAGUGUGGCAGAGGAAGGUGGAAUUCCACGUGUAGCGGUGAAAUGCGUAGAGAUGUGGAGGAACACCGAUGGCGAAGGCAGCCUUCUGGGCCAACACUGACGCUCAUGCACGAAAGCGUGGGGAGCAAACAGG